rnacentral:tRNA from 1 species
GGCGACGUGGCCAAGCGGUAAGGCAGAGGCCUGCAAAGCCUUUACCCCCGGUUCGAAUCCGGGCGUCGCCUCCA